AAUAGAUACCCGGGUAGUCCACGCCCUAAACGAUGUCUACUAGUUGUUGGGUCUUAAUUGACUUAGUAACGCAGCUAACGCGUGAAGUAGACCGCCUGGGGAGUACGGUCGCAAGAUUAAAACUCAAAGGAAUUGACGGGGACCCGCACAAGCGGUGGAUGAUGUGGAUUAAUUCGAUGCAACGCGAAAAACCUUACCUACCCUUGACAUGUCAGGAACCUCCGAGAGAUUGGAGGGUGCCCGAAAGGGAGCCUGAACACAGGUGCUGCAUGGCUGUCGUCAGCUCGUGUCGUGAGAUGUUGGGUUAAGUCCCGCAACGAGCGCAACCCUUGUCAUUAGUUGCUACGAAAGGGCACUCUAAUGAGACUGCCGGUGACAAACCGGAGGAAGGUGGGGAUGACGUCAAGUCCUCAUGGCCCUUAUGGGUAGGGCUUCACACGUCAUACAAUGGUACAUACAGAGGGCCGCCAACCCGCGAGGGGAGCUAAUCCCAGAAAGUGUAUCGUAGUCCGGAUUGUAGUCUGCAACUCGACUACA
rnacentral:rRNA from 1 species